UUACGGCCAUAUCACGUAGAAAAGCCAGUUCCUGUGCGAUCAGCGAAGUUAAGCAACGUCAGGCCUGGCCAGUACUUAGGUGGGUGACUGCUGGGGAAUACCGGGUGCUGUAAG